AUUGAACGCUGGCGGAAUGCUUUACACAUGCAAGUCGAACGGUAGAGGGGGCAACCCCUCGAGAGUGGCGAACGGGUGAGUAAUAUAUCGGAACGUGCCCAGUCGUGGGGGAUAACGUAGCGAAAGUUACGCUAAUACCGCAUACGAUCUAAGGAUGAAAGCGGGGGAUCGCAAGACCUCGCGCGAUUGGAGCGGCCGAUAUCAGAUUAGGUAGUUGGUGGGGUAAAGGCUCACCAAGCCAACGAUCUGUAGCUGGGCUGCGAGGACGGCCAGCCACACUGGAACUGAGACACGGUCCAGACUCCUACGGGAGGCAGCAGUGGGGAAUUUUGGACAAUGGACGCAAGUCUGAUCCAGCCAUUCCGCGUGCAGGAUGAAGGCCCUCGGGUUGUAAACUGCUUUUGUACGGAACGAAAAGGUCUCUCUUAAUACGGGGGACUCAUGACGGUACCGUAAGAAUAAGCACCGGCUAACUACGUGCCAGCCGCCGCAGUAA
rnacentral:rRNA from 1 species